CCUACGGGUGGCAGCAGUGAGGAAUAUUGGUCAAUGGGCGGAAGGCUGAACCAGCCAAGUAGCGUGCAGGACGAAGGUGCCAAGCGUUGUAAACUGCUUUUGUACAGGGACAAAACCAUCCUCGUGAGCCUGACUGCAGGUACUGGACGAAUAAGCACCGGCUAAUUCCGUGCCAGCAGCCGCGGUAAUACGGAGGACCCGAGCGUUAUCCGGAUUUAUUGGGCUUAAAGGGUGCGUAGGCGGGCGUUCAAGUCAGCGGUAAAAGCCCGGGGCUCAACCCCGCCGAGCAGUUGAAACUGGCUGUCUUGAGAUGUCGAGAGGUAUGCGGAAUGCGCAGUGUAGCGGUGAAAUGCUUAGAUAUUGCGAAGAACCCCGAUUGCGAAGGCAGCAUACCGGCGGCGGUCUGACGCUGAGGCACGAAAGCGUGGGUAUCGAACAGGAUUAGAUACCCGGGUAGUC
rnacentral:rRNA from 1 species